GGAGGAGGUGGAGCUUUGGCACCCAGCUGAGUGUAAACUGGCGGGAAAGAGCCAAAACAGCAGAGGAGAUGGGUGGAAGAUGUAGAUUUGUUUGGGUAACUGUUGCUAAGGGCAGUUGGAAAGGCAGACCCCGCCCUGCUUCGCGAGCAACAGAGACUUGGGGAGGAAGUGGGGCUGGGAGACGGAAUCUGAAAAGAAAGCAAUCUGCUUCCGGUGCUGGAGGUUAAAGCAGGUGGCUGCUGUUAACGGCUGCAGGUGACAGUGGGCCAUUUUACCAGCGGCAGCAGCAAGGGACUUGGCCAGGGUCAGGGAUAUCUGGGGAUAGGGAUGGAGUCGUAGCCUCCAUUGAUAGCUCCAACUGUUCUAACCUGAGAGGCAUGAUCUAUGGCUCCAGUGCCUCAGAGGAAGGGGAGAAGUGGGCACACAGUUACAGCUAGAUCUGAGGAGUGCGGGAGGUGGAGAGCACAGCUUUCCCCAGACCGCAGUGUAACACGUGUUGUAGGGCAGGGCUGGCGUACUGGCAGUGCACUCGCACUCGGGGUAGGGACAGGGCUAGCUGUAGGUAUUCUGCUAUCUAGUUGUGGUAUGAAGUGCCCAACAGUCUGUAACAGUGUUCCUGCAGAGCUGGGGCAGAAGUUUGAAUGGCCGAAAAGAAAAAAAAAUGCAAGGAGAAAGUUUAGAGCUCUGAUUAGAAGCAAGCAAGGGGGACAAGGGGAAACCUAGGAUAUCUGGGAGAGGGGGAGUAGGGGCCCGUAAAGAUGUGGGAUGUCUCAGAUAGGGAAAAGAACUAUCUCUCCGUGUUUCUAUUCUUAUGCCCAUAAAAUUGUAAAGGUUUUCAUUUUAUUUGGUUUUUAGGAAGUACAAGAGCUAUUUCCGAGUGUUAAGAUGUAUUAGUAAUUUUGAGUGUGUGUUGGAGCUUUCAGAUGGAGAUGCUAAUGGAGACCCUGGGCUAGGGUCAAGACCUAUAUAGCCCUAUGGAGACUUUUGGAAGGGGUGACUCAAGCUCAGUCACCAAGAGUGAGCCAAUUGCCUGAGGAGAAAGCCUGAAAAGAAACUGGAUUGUGACAGUAUAGCCACCAAAAGUGAAAGAAAAACUUACAACCAAACUGAAAUGAACAGUACAUCCUCUUGGCUGUCCAAAGGAAUCCACUGUAACUAAUGAAAGUUGUGCUGGAGUGCAGUCUCCCAAGCCACAAGGCAGCACAAGAACAUUGGAAACUCAACCAUUAUCAUUGGUAACCUGGGGACUGCUUAGGCUGGGAAGGGUAGGGAUUCUUACUAGUUAGCCACUGUUGGAUGAGGAGACUGGACAUCUGGAGGUCCAAAUAUGCUAGAACUGGGUGUUAACAGCAAUAUUCUCAGCCAUCAGAAAAAUGAAAAUCCAAACUACUAUAAGAUUUGAUCUUAUACCUGUCAGAAUGGCUAAGAUCAAAAACACUACGAGACAUCAUGAUAUGUGCAGGGAAAUGGAUGGUACCAGAAAAUUUUAUCCUGAGUGAGGUAACACAGACCCAAAAUGACAUAUAUGGUAUAAUCACACUUUUAAAUGGAUAUUGACUGUUAAGUAAGGGAUAGUCAUGCUACAAGCCACAGACCCAAAGAAGUUAAGUAACAAGGAGGGUUUCAGGGAUGGGGAGUGAGUGACAUGCAUUAGGGGAAGGGAAAAUAAAACAGAUUUUGCUAGUGGACUGGGACAGGUGGAGAUAAGAACAAGAGGAACAGGGGAAGGGCAAAGGGAGAGAGUAUUGGGAAAGACAACUGGAAUUAGGAGUAUUUGAGGGGUGAUAUGGUGAUAUAGCAGUGGAAACUGCCUGGAAUCUCUAAGGUUGGCUCCAAUGAAGGCUUCUAGUAAUAGACAAUGCAGAGCCCGAACCAAUUGUCUUCUGUAACCAGGCUAGGCUCCUACUGGUGUAACUGGGACACCAACCCAGCCCCAAAAUUUAUGAUCCAAAUGUUCCCUCCCUAGAAGACGUGCUGGGGCAAUGGUGACUCAGGGCUUCUGGGAGAGGCCAUCCAAUGACUAGGCUAACCUGAGACCAACACCACAAGAGGUAACCUAUGCCUGACCUUGCCUGGAUAGCCUGGAACCAGAGGCUGGAUAUCACAGAAACCAAGGAUAGAACCAAAUACAAUUGACAAAAGAAAAAUAAAAUUACUAAUGAUAUUUUGCUAUACUUAUAGACCAGUGCCUAGCCCAAAAGUCAUCAGAGAGUGCUAAUCUAGCAACUGAUAUGAGCAGAUGUAGAGACCCAUAGCCAAACUUUAGGCAGAGCUCAGUAAACACCACAAAAAGGGGUUGUAGAAGCCAGAGAGGUGAAAGAUACCAUAAGAGCAUAAUGCCCACACAAUCAAAGUGGGGCUCAUAGAAGCUCAUAGAGACUAAAGUGACAAACAUGGAACACUCCACCAUGUAGAUCUAGGACCCUACACUAGGUCCUCUGCAUGUACCAUAUGGUUGUGUAGCUUAACGUUCUUGUGGGAUGCCUAACAGAGGGAGUAAGAUGUGUCUCUGACUCCUUUGUCUGUUCUUGGGAACCUUUUUCUCCUACUGGAUUGCCUUGUCCAUCUUUGAUAAGGAUUUGUACUUAGUUUUAUUUUAACUUCUUAUGUCAUGUUUAGUUGAUCUCUUGGGAGGACUGUUUUCUUCUGAAGGGAAAUGAGAGGAAUGGAUUUGGGGGAGAGAGAAUGAGGGAAGAAGAAAUUAGAAGGAUUAGACAGGGAAGAAAUUUUAGUUUUAAUGUAAUGAAUGAGAGAAAAAUGAAUAUUUAAAAAGGUCAGAAAAGAAAGCAAGCUGAGCAAGUCAUGAUGAGCAAGCCAGUAAUUAAUGCCCUUCCAUGGUUUCUGCACCCCAUGCAUGCUUGGCAUGGGGUAUUAUGACAGGAGUAGAAACCACAGGCAUCUAGGCAACUUCUUCAUAUAACUUACUUAUAUCUUCAUGACUGGCUCUGGUCCUAUUGCAUACAUCACUCCAGAUUUCAAAUAGACUCACUUAACAUGCAUGUUUUUUUAUUGUAGAAGGGGCCAAAUGCAAUAAUUUAUCCUUUAUCUUAGAAGGAAUAUCUCUGCAUGUCCUAUACCAUUGGAUUCCUAAAAAUUUCACUAAGGUAGAAGGCCCUUCAAUUUUAGCUAGAUUUAUUUCCCACCCUCUAAUGUGCAUAUAUGUUAUAAAGGAGCACAAAAUGGUUCCGACCUCCUGCAAAUUUGGUUCACUCAGCAUAAUGUAAUCCAUAUAGUACACCAAUGUUAUAUUUUGUAGAAGAGACAAUCAAGAUCCCUUCAAACUAAGCUAUGACACGGGGUUGGAGAGUUAAUAUAUCCUUGAGGUAAAACUAUAAAUGUAUACUGCCAGCCUUGCCAACUGGAAGCAAAUUGUUUCUGGUGGCCAUUACAGGCAGGUACUAAGAAAAAGACAUUUGCUAGAUCAAUAGCUAUAUAAUGUGUAUGCUAGAUAGUUUUCUGUUAACUUGACACAAAUUAAAGUCAUUUGUGAGGAAAGAACCUCAACCAAUAAAAUGCCUCCAGAGCUCCAUCUGUGGUCCACACUACUACCUGCCAUUGAGGAUCUGCAUUAUGCUUCACAGCCCAAAGAUCUUCCUGCCUCCCAGGAGGCCUGCUCCCACCCAAAACAACCAGGCCACAGUUCUUCCUGCCUCUUGGAAGACCUGCUACUACCCAUGACAACCAGUCUCCAGAAGCAUGCUACUCCCAGGGACUAACAGGAACAACCAGAUGGCUAAAGGUAAGUAUAAGAAUACAAUUAACAAGAGGCACUGUAGUAUGGCACCAUCAGAACAUAGCAUUCCUACUACAGCAAGACCUGGAUAUGCUAAAACACCUGAAGAAGAAGACUAUGACCUUAAAUCUCAUGUUAUAAAGAUGAUAGGGGCCUUUAAAGAGGAAGUAAAAGAGUCUGUUAAAGAAAUACAGGAAAAUACAAUCAAACAGGGAGAAGAAGGCAUUAAAUAGGAAACAAAUAAAUCUCUUAAAGAAAUACAGGAAUAUACAAUCAAAAAAUUAAAGGAAAUUAAUAAAACUGUUCAAGGCCCAGAAACAAAAAUAGAAGAAAUAAGGAAAAAACAAACAGAGGCAACCCUGGAGAUAAAAAACCUAGAAGAAAGAACAGGAACAAUGAAUGGAAGUAUCACCAACAGAAUGCAAAAGAUGGAAGAGGGGAAAACUCUCAGUGUAGAAGACACAAUAGAAGAAAUUGAUGCAUCAGUCAAAGAAAAUCUAAAAAGUUUAUAACACAAAACAUCCAGGAAAUUUGGGACCAAGCAUAAGAAUAAUGAGAAUAGAAGAGGGAGAUGAUUCCCAGUCCAAAGAAAUAUCUUCAACAAAAUCACAGAAGAAAACUUUCCUCACCUAGUGAAAGAGAUGGCCAUAAACAUACAAUAAACUUACAGAAUAGCAAAUAAAUUAGACUAGAAAAGAAACAGGAAAUUCAAAAAUAAUUUGGUCUUAUUUCAAAAACCUGUAGUCAACAAAAUUGUAAACUCUUAAUGAAAUGGAUGAUUUUCUAGACAGAUACCACUUACCAAAGAUCGCUUAUCAAGAGCAGAUAUAUUAGCUAAACAAACCUAUAAUCCUUAAGGAAAUAUAAACAAUAAUUAAAAGUCGUCUCCCAUCAAAAAAAAAAAAAAGAAAAAAAAGUCCAGGGCCAUAUGAUUUUAAUCCAGAAUUCCAAAGAACAACUAAUACCAAUACUCUUCAAACUAUUUCAUGAAAUAGAAGCAUGAGGAACACUGCCAAACUCACCCAGAUACCUAAAUCAUACAAAGAGUCAACAAAAAGAAUUCUAGACCAAUUUCUCUCCUCAACAUCCAUGCAAAAAUAUUCAAUAAAAUACUUGCAAACUGAAUCCACCAAAUCCAAGAACACAUCAAAAACAUCAUCCUUUACCCAAGGAGCCUAGUCAGACCCCAAGAGUGCCCUGUUUCCCUGUGAAGGGCUUGUGGGGAGGGGGGCAAGAAUACCCAACUUGGAUACUCAAGAAAACAAAAGAAAUAAUUUCACAUGAUUAAAACCAUUAGAAGAGAAGCACACACACAUAAACACACAACCCCACACAGACACACACACACACACACACACACACACGACAACACCCACCCACAUAACCAUCACCAACAUGAACAUAACAGGAAUUCAAAAUUAAUCAUUAGUCAUUAACAUCUCUUAGAAUCAAUGGACUCAAUUCCCCAAUAAACAGAUACAGGCUAAUGAAAUGGAUGCAUAAACAGAAUCCAUCAUUCUUCUAUGUACAAGAAACACAUCUCAGCAACAGAGAUAGAUAUUACCUCAGAGAAAAGGGAAUUGCAUUCAGGAAACAAGCUGGAGUAGCCAUUUUAAAAGUUUCUCUUUUUUUUUAAGAUUUAUUUAUUUAUUAUAUAUAAGUUCACUGUAGCUGUCUUCAGACACACCAGUAGAAGGCAUCAGAUCUCAUUACAUAUGGUUGUGAGCCACCAUGUGGUUGCUGAGAUUUGAACUCAAGACCUCUGGAAGAACAGACAGUGCUCUUAACCACUGAGCCAUCUCUCCAGCCCUGGACUAGCUAAACAAACCUAUAACUCUUAAGGAAAUAUAAACAAUAACUAAAAGUCUCCCAUCAAAAAAAAAAAAAAAAAACAGCCCAGGGUCACAUGAUUUUAAUCCAGAAUUCCAAAGAACACUUCUCAGAACCUUCUCAAAACUGACCAUAUAAUCAACUACAAAGCAAGCCUCAAUAGUCACAAGAAGAUUGAAAUAACCUCAUGCAUCUUAUCAGAUCGCCAUGGUUUAAAGCUGGACUUCAACAACCACAGAAAAAACACAAAGCUGACACAUUCCUGGAAACUAAACAUCUCUCUACUCAGUGAUCACUGGAUCAAGAAAGAAAUAAAGGGGCUAGAGAGAUGGCUAAAGCCAAAGCAAUCAGGACCAGCUAGUACACCAGGACAAGUUCUCUGCCAUGCCUUUCUCAACAAAGCAGAAGAUUGGCAAAGACAUGAGACUGAUGAAGCACUGAAAGGCUAGUUAUGCAAUCACACUUUCACUAUCCAUUGAAUCCUAUUUAUACUCCCUCCAAACACCAUGUGUCCUCAGCAAAACACCAUGUGAGUUUGUCUUAGCAAAACAUUCCCUGAGUCUGCAUCACAUGACAUAUCCAGAAACUUCCAUUUCAUUAGGAAGACAAUACCCUUCACAAAAGCCAUAAAUAAUAUAAACUACCUUGGUAUAAUUCUAACCAAGCAAGUGAAAGACUUUAAUGACAAUUCUUUCCAGAAAAAACAAUUGUAGAAGAUAUCAAAAGAUAGAAAGAUCACUCAUGGUCACAGAUCAGUAGGAUUAAUACAGAGAAAAAUGACCAAUUUACCAAAAGCAAUCGACAGAUUCAAUGCAAUUCCCAUCAGAACUCCUAUACAAUUCUUUACAGAUCUUGAAGGAACAAUUCUCAACUUCAUGUGGAAAAAUAAGACUCUGGAAUAGCUAAAACAAUCCUGAAUGAAAAGAACUUCUGGAGUAAUCACCAUCCCUAAGCACAAGCAGUAGUACAGAGCAAUAGUAAGAAGAACUCCAUGGCACUGGUGUGGAAACAGACAAGUUGAUCAAUGGAAUCAAAUUGAAGACCCAGAAGUAAACCCACAGAUCUAGGGACACUUGCUUUUUGACAAAGAAGCCAAACCAUACAAUGGAGAAAAGGAAAGCAUUUUAACAAAUGAUGCUGGUCUUACUGGAUGUUUGUAUGUAGAAGAAUGUAAAUAGAUCCACAUUUUUUUUUCUUUUUUUCAGAGCUGGGGACCGAACCCAGGGCCUUGCGCUUGCUAGGCAAGCGCUCUACCACUGAGCUAAAUCCCCAACCUAGAUCCACAUUUAUAAUGCUGAACAAAACUGAAGUCCAAAUGGAUUAAAGACCUGGGCAUAAAACUAGAUACACUACAUCUAAUAGAAAAGAAAUAGCCUUUAACUCAUUGGUGCAGGAGACAACUUCCUGAAUAGAACACUAGUGGUUCAGGCUCUAAGAUAUGGGUUCCCUAAAGAAACCAGACUGAGUAUGUUAUGAUGAGUCACGAUGAACAAGCCAGUAAGUAGCACCUCCCCAUUGCCCCUGCAUCAAAUUCUGCCUCCAGGUUUCUGCCCAGGUUUGAGAUCCUGUCCUGAUUUCCUUCAAUGAUGAGCAUCAAUAUAAAUUUGCAAAUCAAAUAACCCCUCUCCAUUGCAACGUACUUUUGAUCAUGGUGUUUCACCAUAGCAAUAGUAACCUUAACUAAAACAGCAUAUGCCAGGAGAUGUGUUAAUUUGCUCAAGUAAGGACACAUCUGGUAAGCAGCUGCAAUCGGAGUUACUAACCGAUUAAAUUUUCUAUAGUCAACUGACGUUUUCCAAGAUCCAUUUAUCCUCUGCACUGGCCAGAUAGGAGAAUUAAAGGGAAAUGUGUUGGGAACCACGACACCAUUCCUACAUCUUUCAAGUCCUUGAUGAUGACACAAAUUUCUGCAAUUCCUCCAGGGAUGUGAUACUGUUUUGAUUCACUAUUUUUCUUGGCAGAGGCAACUCUAAAAGCUUCCAUUUAGACUUUCCAACACUAAUAUCCCUCACUCCAUAGGUCAGGGAACCAACAUGGUAAUACUGACAACUCCAAGUAUAUCUACCCCAAUCGCUUAUUAUGAGACUGGGGAAAUAUGCAUAGGACAAGUGGACCCUCCAGAACUACUCUAAGUCAAACUUCAGCUAAACUUUUCAUUAAUCACUUGAACUCCAUAAGCCUGCACUUUAACUGGAAGGCAACAAUGUUUCUUGGGAUCUCCCCAAAUUAGCAUUAAUUCAGAACCAGUAUCCAAAAGAACCCUCAAAUUCUAAUUGUUUCCUAACUCCACUGAACAAUUAUUCUUGUAAAAGGCUGUAAGUUCCUCUGGGGAAGGACUAGAGAAAAGUUACAAAUUAAAUGUUUAGGCAUUUUACCAAGAUCCUUCCUCAGAGGAACCUAGCCAUCCCUUUGUUCCAGAAGUUCUUGUUCUAAAAACUUGAUUCAUUCACUGACAUUCUCUUUGCCAUGAUCCAAUGUAGGCUUUCGUUAUUCAUUUGAGAAUUUUCUCAAUUAUACAUAUCAAUCAAAAAUUCAGUAGACUUCUUAUCUAUUUCAUUCCUGGGAACAUUGUGAUUCAUUAGCCAGUACCAAAGGUACAUGCAAGUCCUACCACUAUAAAUUCAUUUUGCCUGUACAAACCAUUUUGAGUUAAGACAUUAUAGACAUUACUUUGUCUGUAGUUCCCAUUAUGAUAAGUAUGACUACCUUGGUUCUUAAUUGGGGUUUUACUGCUAUCAACAGAUACCAUGACCAUGGCAACUCUUAUAAGGACAACAUUUCAUCAGGUCUGGCUUACAGGUUCAGAGAUUCAGUGUUAGGGUUUUACUGCUGUAAACAGACACCAUAACCAAGGCAACUCUUAUAAGGACAACAUUUGAUUGGGGCUGGCCUUUAGGUUCAGAGGUUCAGUCCAUUAUCAUCAAGGUAGAUUAUAGGCCUUACAUAGGAACAAUUAGUCAAAAAAUCUCAUUCUUUACCCAAAACAAUAAUGCUGGAGACAAUAAUUUGGUAUAAAAGUCAAUUUAUAAAUACAAGUGCUCAGUGUCCUCAAUUUAAUUCUCAAGGACUUAUCUUAAUAAAUAAUGUUUAACAAUAUUUUAAUAAAUAAAAAAGGGGAGUUAUCCCUGUAUGCUAAAAUAUGCUCCUUUUAUUUCAAUUUUAAAAUUUGUAUGUCAAGGAAAACUCUGAGUUUAUGGCAUCCUACAACUAAGCAUACUUCUGCCUAGGUGAAAUAGAAAGAUCCACAUAUUGGCAUGAUCCUGACCAGGUAUUUUUAUGGGGAAGAGGGAAUCUUUGUGUUUUUUCUACAGGAUGCUACAGGAGUGUGCCAGCUGCCCAAGUGGCUGGUGAGCCAUGCUGAUCCUGGGAGCAUGAAGAUUCAGCUCUCGUGGUUCGGGUCCCUGGAGUCAUUCCUGUAUCCUUGGAGGAAGAUGGAGGAUUCCCCCUCAUCUUUUGUCAUCACAGAGAUUUUGGCGUUGCUGCAGUCAUUGUGUCCCAUCCCACCUCGGCCUGUGCUCCGACUCUCUGUGCGCUGCUGCUUGCUGGAGAAGACUGGACUCCAGCUGUUACCCCUACCCCCCCUCACUCCCCUGGCGACUCUUGCUGCCUUAACUGGUGUUGUCAUUUUGCAGUCUGUAGCUUCACAGGAAUGCCAUCUGCGUGAAGCUGCUGUGGACUGGAGAACUCUGCCCUGGUUCUGCAGAUCUCAGACAUGGUUCCAUUGCCUGCUUGUUCCAGAGAAGAAUGACCGAUCCUGAACUGUCCUGGGAAAGACCUUGGCACUUCACUUUCGCUGCUAUUGUAGCAGCCAUUACUGCUGCAGCCAUUGUGUCUGCAGUGUCUGGAGUUACCCUCCCCCAAUCUAUUGUUAGGCAAGCACAGUGGGUGAACUUUCUGGAGUAGUUGCUAACAAUUGGGAAUUCUAAAUUUUAUUACAGGAGAGGCUUGACUAGGCCCUUGGUGGUAUGGCCAUAGCAGCUGAGGAGAACCAGAUGAGGUGCCCACUACUUAUUGGGAGAGGCUCAAUUUCCACAAUCUCUUAUAUUAAUGCCAUCUGGCCCCUACUCUUUCGCCCCUGGGCUCAAGUAAGAGGAAUGAGAAGAUGAUCCAAUGUAGCUAUCCUCAGGGACGGGCAACUUCCUCUGACCCUUGACCAAUCUAAGACAUGGUGCCUUGCGGGCGACAAGGUGAUCCUAUGACGGAUAAGGCUGGGGUUCGAGAGGUCGAUCCUAAGACAGAGGUGGCUACACCCCGUUUAAAUGUACGGGCUGGUCAAAUGCUCCUCUGCCCAGUUUCUCCCCCAAUAAACACACACGUAUAGCCCAGAACGGUGUGUUACAGCAUAAGUUCAUUCCUAGCCAUUGGGGUGCAGUCCUAACUGCAAGAGUGGCUCACCAUGGCCGAGCUGGGCACUCUGUGAGGCAUGUCUGAUCUCUCUCAGACCACUACUUCCACCUAAUGGUCUUUUAAAAAAGAAAAAUGGGGGAGAUGCACGGAGCCGUAUUGGAUUUGAGCCUAGCCGCUUUUUGACUGCAUGGCUCAAAGUGACUAGGUGACUCUGGGCUGUUUGGCCACAGAGACUCACCCCUAAGAUGACUGCCAUAAGCCUUAAGAUUGUUGAAUGAAAGCCUCUCCCAUGAAUUUAUGGCACAGGAAGAUAACAUUCAAGGGAUGCCUCAGCUCGAGCAGAUACCAGUUAUCUCCUCAGUCAACACUCAGUGUCUCCACCACCUGACCUCAUCGCCUGACCUCUUUGCCUCCAGCUAUCACUGCCUAUACCCUCAUUUCCCCCUCCUUCAUGUUUCACAAAGGUCACUUCCCCUACCUGAAAGCCUUAAAAGCUGUAACGUUCAUCCCAAUAAACGAGACCUUGACAACAGAA